rnacentral:lncRNA from 1 species
GAGAAGUCUUCUCCCUUCCCUGCAAGCAUGAGCCCUCCUCAGAAUCCAUUCCUGCCCAGGUUUGGGACUGGGUACAUCCCACAUGUCCUCAGACUGAGGAGUUUGCAGCAAAUACAAAGGAAUCUCAUUUCUAGAGUACGGUUUUGGCAGUGAAAUUCCACAAUAUCUGCUGGGUAAUGACUGCAGUCAGCGCAGAGAGAGGAACAAACAGCGCAAGAUGGAAAUGUGGUGGGGUCCAGGAGGCACUGCUGGGAGCAAUCACUAGCAAUCAUCCCCAUUUGCAUGCACUUAUCUAGUAUUCUGAAGUCAUUUCCUUAACACAUUCUCUCACCCUUCCUGGAAGUGUCUGUUAUAUAAAACCAUAAGCCUGGCCCCAAGGAGUGGGACAAGCUCUGGGCAUGGGCGAAGCAUCCAGGAGCUGCUGUUGCUUCCAUCAGAUGUUCCCAAGAUCCCCAAGGAGUUUAUGGAUAUGUCAUCUCGAUGCUGAAUCUCAGAGAAUGAUCCUUCCAGACCAUAAUGAGAUAUUGUGUCUGCUCCUGGAGACAAAGCUUUGGAUGUCUGUCCAACGUUUCCAGAGACGUGAAUAAGAGUCAUGUGUACAUAACCCUUCUGCCAAGGCUGCAAGGGCCGCAGUGAAGGCUGGGUCCAAGAACGAGGGCACUGUGAGCUCACACCUGGGAAAUAGGCUCAGCUGCCUGAUGGUCGGUCAUCCCUGCACUCUCUCCAAUAGGAAUCAGAUGGGCAACACAAAAUAUGCUUACUAAAGGAAGAAAAGUGGAACAAGGAAGGUAAACACUGUCACAGUAAUGAAUUCCUAGCCUGUACCGGUUUCAAUUUCUCUUCUUUUGGGAUAAAACUGCUUGGCAACUUUCCUGCUGCUGCGUAACCAAGUUCCUCUUGCAGAAGAGCAAGGUUGCUCUGCAAAUGUAUCUCCUGCUGCUCUGUGGGGACUUCCUGUCACUGCAGCUCUUGGGAAGCAUCACGGAGUGCUGGGACCUGAUUACAGAAGCUCUGAAGCAGCUUCUGCCUGCCCCACACCCCUUCUAAGAAAUGGUGACCCACGGUCUCCUGCAAUUCCUCUCUCCGAGAGCCCAGUCUUCCCUUUGCAGCUCAGAUGCUGAAAGCUGAGGGUUUAGGCUGGGGGAGUCACUCGCCCCAGGCUCCCUGUGCAAGAUUUUAUUGGCCCAUGCUUAUGCACAGUAGUGCAAUCAUCAGCUUCCCUGCAUGUCCUGCUGUUUAAAUAGGUGUGCAUCUCUAAUGGAGUAACAGAUUGCUUGCAAACACCAGCCCUGGACACCGGGUCUUUCUUUCAUUUUACCCAGCAGCAGCCCCUGGAUUUGGACACUUUUGUCUGAAAGGCAAGGAGAAGCUUUUAAAACCUCUUUGGUUUCCCAUAGUAUGUGCAGUAUGUGUGCUGCAUCUCCACCUGCCUGCAGACACUGGCUAAGGACGCAGGAGCCACGCCAAGGGGAUGCAGUAGUUAGGUCAGUUACUUGUGUCCAAAAAUGUCUAACUCCAGAAGUGCAAGGAUCAAGU